rnacentral:lncRNA from 1 species
GAGGAGGAGCCGGGGAGGGUGGGAAGCUUCGGGGUCGCCAUCUUGGUGCCGGAGGUGACCCGCCGGCCUGAGGGGAGCCAUCCAUCCCACUCGGAGACGGCGGCAGAGGUGUUUGCGUGGGACCCCGUGGAGCGUUCCCUGCCGCCGGACCAUACCUUCCUUGAAGUAUCCAAAAUUGGACACAGCAUCCCAGCCAGGGCACAGACAGCUCCAAGGACAGCUGAAGAAUUACAAAAUGUUUUGUAGAUGAUAACACUGGCUAUAAAUUGCAGCUGGAAGAUGAGUAGCAAAUGGGGCUGGGAAUGUUAAGAAGAGGACAGGAUGGGCUCAUGAUUAAGGUAAUCAUUGAUACCCUGGGAAACUGUAUUCUUUCCUUGCCUCUGUGAGAGUUCUCAGAUAACAUGCUGGAAGAUAAGAAGUCACAUAUUUGACACGGGUUCAUUAAUUGCUUCCUACUCCUUAAGUAUCUGAUCAGAUGUGCUAAGAAUUUGCAGCUAAAAUUAGCAUCAAUGAGAACUAUUUAAUUUAUAAUGCCAAACACAAAGUGAAUAAACAAUUUGCA